rnacentral:misc_RNA from 1 species
GCAAACUUGGUCAUUUAGAGGAAGUAAAAGUCGUAACAAGGUCUCCGUUGGUGAACCAGCGGAGGGAUCAUUACAGAGUUCUUGGCAACUCCCAACCCUGUGAACUUUAUCUCUUGUUGUUGCUUCUGGCAGGCGGCCCCUGGGUGGCCUGCCAGCGGCGACCUGCUCCAACCUUCUUUUGUAUCUCGACCGUCUGAGUCUGAAAAAAAUCAAUCAAAACUUUCAACAACGGAUCUCUUGGCUCUGGCAUCGAUGAAGAACGCAGC